rnacentral:rRNA from 1 species
CACCCGCGGCUCUAGUGGUAGUCACUUUUAUUGAGCCUAAAGCGUUCGUAGCCGGAUUCGUAAAUCUCUAGGAAAAUACUUCUGCUCAACAGAAGAAAUUCUGGAGAGACUGCGGAUCUAGGGACCGGGUGAGGUUGAAUGUACUUCCGGGGUAGGGGUAAAAUCCUGUAAUCCUGGAAGGACAACCGGUGGCGAAGGCGUUCAACUAGAACGGAUCCGACGGUGAGGAACGAGGGCUAGGGGAGCAAACCGG